rnacentral:rRNA from 1 species
UGGCAGGUACAGAGGGGUGCUACCGGGUGACCGGAUGCCGAUCUCGAAAACCUGUCCCAGUUCGGACUGGAGUCUGCAACCCGACUCCACGAAGUUGGAUUCGCUAGUAAUCGCGCAUCAGCCAUGGCGCGGUGAAUACGUUCCCGGGCCUUGUACACACCGCCCGUCAAGCCAUGGGAGCCGGGGGCGCCUGAAGUCCGGGACCGCGAGGACCGGCCUAAGGCGAAACUGGUGACUGGGGCUAAGUCGUAACAAGGUAAC